CUAUUUCUUGGGCUGCUCCCGCGGCAUAUGGAGGUUCCCAGGCUAGGGGUCUAAUCGGAGCUGUGGCCGCCAGCCUACGCCAGAGCCACAGCAAUGCAGAAUCCGAGCCGUGUCUGCAAUCUACACCACAGCUCAUAGCAACGCCGGAUCGUUAACCCACUGAGCAAGGGCAGGGACCGAACCCACAACCUCAUGGUUCCUAGUCGGAUUCGUUAACCACUGCGCCAUGACGGGAACUCCUCAUUCUGCUUUUAAAGAUUCUGGUCUUCUAUUCUUUUAAAUGUUUAGGUAAAACAUGUCUUUCUUAUUUCCAACAUUCUACAAUCUCCCAAUAUCUUCUCUGGGUUAACAAUAAUAUUUAUAUUGCUCAAUAUUCUCAAAGAAUAAGAGACAUUUGCAUCCUAUAGAGUUUAGACUGUGGUGUGUAAAUGUAUGUCAGAUUGUUCUUCACAUUAUUGUAUUUCUGUUAUGUGUUAUAUUCUUUGUUUCUUAAAAAAACCCAUAACUUCCCAAAACAGGUAACUCAUACAUACAAUUAAAAAUUCAAAAGGCAUGAAAGACUAUACACCUAAAAGUGAGUCUCCCUCCUACUCCUGUCCUUCAUUUAAUUCUCUUUUGCAGAGGAAACCACUAGGACUAGUUUCUUAUUUUUCUGAGGCAUUUUACACCUCCAACCCUCUUCACAAUAGAUUAUAUUCUAUAUGCUCUUACAUUCUAUACACACUGCCCUGCACUUUGGUUUUCACUUAACCACAUAGCUUAGGGGUUAUUUUAUAUCUGCACAUCCAAGACUGCCUUAUCUUUAAUUUUUUAAAGCUUUAAACUUCACACUGUUCCAUUUUAUGUAGGCACCAUCAUUUAUUUAAACAAUCCCAAUCAAUGGACAUUUAUAUUGGGUUCUAGUCUUUUGCUAUUACUAACAAUUCUGCAAAUAAUUACUUUAUAUGUAGGUCGUUUUGCAUGUGUAAGAACACUUGAAGGAUGCAUUUGUAGAAGUAGAAUGGCUAAGUUUAAAAGUCUGGGCAUUUUUCAGUAGAGACAUGAAAAGAUGCUGAUCAUUGCUAAUUAUUAGAAAAACACAAAUAGAAACUACAAUGAGGUACCACCUCAUGUCAGUCAGAAUGGCCAUCAUUAAGUCCACAAAUAACAAAUGCUGGAGAGAGUAUGGCGAAAAGGGAACUCUCCUACGCUGUUGGUGGGAAUGAAUUGGUACAACCACUGUGGAAAACAGUAUGGAGGUUUCUCAGAAAACUAAAUAUAGAACUACCAUAUGACCCAGAAUUCCCACUCCUGGGCAUAUAUGACGAGGCCUGCAUUGCCACAGAAAUAAGAAGAAAGAGACACAGAAAUAGAGUGGGGAUCAGGGGGCUACCGCCUUCAAGAGGCAAUAGCAACCCUCUGAGCCAACUCAUGGUUUUUAUUUACUAUUUUCUACUUCCUUGUACAUGCAGGGGAUACACUGGUAUUUUACUUCAAACAGAUUGGAAGCAAGAUACACUAGGACAAGCAUUCCUAAGCACAUAAAGUAAUCAUAAAUGUUUUAGCCCUCCCAGGCCUUAAUUUGUUAUUUGCUUCAAGCCAUCUAUGGCCUCUCCCAAAAAUCCCCCAAGGCUCCAGUCCUGAGAAUGUCAGAGCUGAUGGUUUUCCAUUAGCAACAUCAAUACUUCAGCUAUCUUGUUUUCAAGAUACCAUUCUUUGAUGCUGUUCCCAUUCGUUUUGCCUCAAGGGUCAUGAGAGAGUCACAAGACUUUGUAUAGACUGACCUUCUACAGCCACUCUAUGGCGCCAAUCUUUUCUUUCCAUUCUUUGUCAUGUCACAUAUUCAUGUCUCCAAAACAUACCCUGACAAAACUAUAAUUCAAAAAGAUACACGCAUCCAGUGUUCAUUAUAGCACUAUUUAUAAUAGCCAAAGGGUGAACAAACUAAAUAUCCAUCAAUAGAGGAAUGGAUAAAGAAGAUGUGGUACAUAUAUAUAACAGAAUACUACUCAGCCAUAAAAAAUGAAAUAAUGACAUUUGCAGCAACAUGGAUGGACCUAGAGAUUAUCAUACUAAGUGAAAUAUGUCAGAAAAAGAAAUACAAAUACCAUAUGAUAUCAAUUAUAUGUGGAAUCUAAAAUGUGACACAGAUGAAUUUAUCUAUGAAACAGAAACAGAUUCAUAGAGAUAGAGAAUAGACCUGUUGUUGCCAAUGGGGAGGUGGUUGAGGGAGGGAUAGAUUGGGAAUUUGAGAUCAGCAGAUGGAAACUGUUAUAUAUAGAGUGGAUAAACAACAAAAUCUGACUGUAUAGCACAGGGAACUAUAUUCAAUACCCUAUAAUAAACCAUAAUGAAAGAGAAUAUGAAAAAAAUAUAUGUGUAAAACUGAGUCACUUUGCUGUAGAGCACAAAUUAAUACAACGUUGCAAAUCAGCCAUAUGUCAAUACAAUCAAUUUUUUAAAAAAGGCAUGGGCAUUUUCAAUUUUGAUAGCUACUGCUGAAUUUCCCACCAAGGGGUUGUACCUAUUCCUGUUUCCACUAAGAAACAUUUGAGAGUAUCUCUCCCCUAGACCCUGACCAACAGAGCAUUUUAUCAAGCUUUUGAACUUGGUCAAUUUUUUUUUCUUUUUUUUAGGGCCCACCUGUGGCUUAUGGAAUUUCCCAGGCUAGGGGUCUAAUUGGAGCUGUAGCUGCUGGCCUACACCACAGCCACAGCAAUGCUGGUGUCCAAGCCACAUCUGUGACCUACACCACAGCUCAGAGCAAUGCUGGAUCCCCAACCCACUGAGCAAGGCCAGGGAUCUAACCCAUGUCCUCAUGGAUACUAGUUGGAUUUGCUUCUGUUGUGCCACAAAGGGAACUCCUGAACUUUGUCAAUCUUAUAGGUGAAAAGUAGUAUCUUUUUUUUUUUUUUUUGGUCUUUUUGUCUUUUUAGGGCAGCACCCAAGCAUAAGGAGGCUCCCAGGCUAGGGGUCUAACUGGAGGUGCAGCUGUAGGCCUAUGCCACAGUCAUAGCAAUGUGGGAUCUACAGUCAUAGCAAUGUGGGAUCUAAGCCACAUCUGUGACCUACCCCACAGCUCACGGCAACACCAGAUCCUUAACCCACUAAGCAAGGCCAGAGACGGAACCUGCGUCCUCAUGGAUCAUAGUCUGGUUUGUUAACCACUGAGUCACGAUGAGAACUCCAAUAUCUCAUAUUUUAAUUAAAAUAAUUAAUUAAUUAAUUUUUUGUCUUUUUGUCCUUUUAGGGCUGCACCCACGGCAUAUGGAGGUUCCCAGGCUAGAGGUCUAAUCGGAACUAUAGCCACAGGCCUACAUCACAGCCACAGCAAUGCCAGAUCCAAGCCGAGUCUCUGACCUACACCACAGCUCACAGCAA
rnacentral:lncRNA from 1 species